GACAGAGGCCUCGAGCGUUAGGCGGAAUCACUGGGCUUAAAGCGUGUGUAGGCGGGCCCGUAAGUGUCUUGUGAAAUCCCACGGCUCAACCGUGGAACUGCUGGGCAUACUGCGGGUCUUGGUCCAACUAGGGGCAGCCGGAACAAGCGGUGGAGCGGUGAAAUGCGUAGAUAUCGGGAGGAACACCAGUGGCGAAGGCGACUACCUGGCCUGUUCUUGACGCUGAGGCGCGAAAGCUAGGGGAGCAAACGGG
rnacentral:rRNA from 1 species